CACAAGUAAAAAGUUUUAAUCUCACUAAAAUGCGGAAUAACUCGAUUCAGAAUUCGAAUUUUUCGACUCGAAAUUUAUAUUUUAUUUAUUACUAUUAAUUUUCGAGAUGAGAAAGAAAAACGAAAAAUUGGAUACGAGUUUAUAAAAAUCACCAAGUUGCGGAUAAAUAAUAACGGAUAAAACUUCUACACCAAUGCGGUUGUAACUACGAUAGCAUAACAGUUGUAAUAGGGUAGAAAAAGCGAAGGAUCAGGUGGAGAAGCGAAGCAAUUGUGCACUCGCAUCUGGAGAAGAAGAUAAGGUUUACAGACAUAAAGACAAGUCUGUAACGGUCACGCUUGUAAUUACCUCACUUAGGCGACAUCCGAAGUUAAUUUGUCCAUGCUGCUUUAUUAUUAUUAAGCUAGCACUAAAAUUAUUAAAUUAAUUAAUAGCGACUUUGUUAAAAGCGUGAUUUUCAUCGAUUAAACUCCAAAAAUUGGAUGGAAUUUUAAUUUUUGUAGGAAAAAAAAAAAUUUUUUUUCCUCUUCUUCCUGUUAUCAGUAGUUCUGAAUGUUAGAUAUUUUUUCCAUGGGGGUCAAAGGUACCUAAGUAUAUGAUUGCGAGUGGAAACAUAGGGGACAGAAUCAGGUAUUGGCAGUUUCUCCACGUUCAUUUGUGUGUGAAUUUUUAAUAUAAAUGCAAGAUGUAAAGCAUUAAUGCAAGCAAAAUGUUU
rnacentral:lncRNA from 1 species